UACGGGAGGCAGCAGUAGGGAAUCUUCCACAAUGGACGAAAGUCUGAUGGAGCAACGCCGCGUGAGUGAAGAAGGUUCUCGGAUCGUAAAACUCUGUUGUGAGGGAAGAACAAGUACCGGAGUAACUGCCGGUACCUUGACGGUACCUCAUUAGAAAGCCACGGCUAACUACGUGCCAGCAGCCGCGGUAAUACGUAGGUGGCAAGCGUUGUCCGGAAUCAUUGGGCGUAAAGCGCGCGCAGGCGGUCCCUUAAGUCUGAUGUGAAAGCCCACGGCUCAACCGUGGAGGGUCAUUGGAAACUGGGGGACUUGAGUGCAGAAGAGGAAAGCGGAAUUCCAAGUGUAGCGGUGAAAUGCGUAGAGAUUUGGAGGAACACCAGUGGCGAAGGCGGCUUUCUGGUCUGUAACUGACGCUGAGGCGCGAAAGCGUGGGGAGCAAACGGGAUUAGAUACCCUGGUAGUCCACGCCGUAAACGAUGAGUGCUAAGUGUUAGGGGGUUUCCGCCCCUUAGUGCUGCAGCUAACGCAUUAAGCACU
rnacentral:rRNA from 1 species